rnacentral:rRNA from 1 species
UACGAAGGGGGCUAGCGUUGCUCGGAAUUACUGGGCGUAAAGGGUGCGUAGGCGGGUUUUUAAGUCAGUGGUGAAAUCCUGGAGCUCAACUCCAGAACUGCCUUUGAUACUGAAGAUCUUGAGUUCGGGAGAGGGGAGUGGAACUGCGAGUGUAGAGGUGAAAUUCGUAGAUAUUCGCAGGAACACCAGUGGCGAAGGCGGCUCACUGGCCCGAUACUGACGCUGAGGCACGAAAGCGUGGGGAGCAAACAGG